GCGAAAAUAGCUUAAUAGGCAAAGCAUGACCUUGCCAAGGUCAUUAUAAGGGUUCGAGUCCCUUUUUUCGCU
rnacentral:tRNA from 1 species